AGAGUUUGAUCAUGGCUCAGGCAUGUUNCGCUGGCGGUAUGCUUAACACAUGCAAGUCGAACGGUCUCUUCGGAGAUAGUGGCGGACGGGUGAGUAACGCGUGAGAAUCUGCCUCUAGGUCGGGGACAACAGUUGGAAACGACUGCUAAUCCCGGAUGAGCCUAACGGUAAAAGAUUUAUUGCCUAGAGAGGAGCUCGCGUCCGAUUAGUUAGUUGGUGAGGUAAUGGCUUACCAAGACAGCGAUCGGUAGCUGGUCUGAGAGGAUGACCAGCCACACUGGGACUGAGACACGGCCCAGACUCCUACGGGAGGCAGCAGUGGGGAAUUUUCCGCAAUGGGCGAAAGCCUGACGGAGCAAUACCGCGUGCGGGAGGAAGGCCCUUGGGUCGUAAACCGCUUUUCUCAGGGAAGAAGUUCUGACGGUACCUGAGGAAAAAGCCUCGGCUAACUCCGUGCCAGCAGCCGCGGUAAUACGGAGGAGGCAAGCGUUAUCCGGAAUUAUUGGGCGUAAAGCGUCCGCAGGUGGUAUUGUAAGUCUGCUGUCAAAUACGGAAGCUCAACUUCCGAUCGGCAGUGGAAACUGCAAAACUAGAGUACAGUAGGGGUAGAGGGAAUUCCCAGUGUAGCGGUGAAAUGCGUAGAGAUUGGGAAGAACACCGGUGGCGAAAGCGCUCUGCUGGGCUGUAACUGACACUGAGGGACGAAAGCUAGGGGAGCGAAUGGGAUUAGAUACCCCAGUAGUCCUAGCCGUAAACGAUGGAAACUAGGCGUGGCUUGUAUCGACCCGAGCCGUGCCGAAGCUAACGCGUUAAGUUUCCCGCCUGGGGAGUACGCACGCAAGUGUGAAACUCAAAGGAAUUGACGGGGGCCCGCACAAGCGGUGGGAGUAUGUGGUUUAAUUCGAUGCAACGCGAANAACCUUACCAGGGCUUGACAUCUGGCGAAUCUUGAUGAAAGUUAAAAGUGCCUUAGGGAGCGCCAANACAGGUGGUGCAUGGCUGUCGUCA
rnacentral:rRNA from 1 species